AAGACAAGCUGAAGUUUCUUCGUUGUAUAGCGUUUGAUGUUUGUCUUCAAUAGACCCGAUGCACAAGAUUAUUUGACAAACUUUCCUGAGUAGUCUGAUUGGCUAGUCAUUUCUGCUGCGAUGAAGAGAUAAGCGAUCUUGACAAGCGUCUUGUGCUGCUAAACAGUGUAAUCUAGACACAAGACAAAAUCUUUGAGAUAUCCGGUACGAGUUAACGCCAUUGACCAUUGAAUUAUGCGUUUUUAUGCCAUACAGAAACCCUGCGCCGAAGUGCUAAGUGGUCACGAUACAUGCCCUAAAAUGGUUUCGUCCAAAACUCUGUUUACUUCUUUUUUACCACAAAUUGUUACGACAGACAACAAAAAACAGCUUUCAGCAGUGCAAGUGUUUUUAAGAAGCUUGUGCAGACUUAUUUUCAAUAAGCAAACAUCAAAAACAGGCAACAGAGCUGAAGAUUUUUUUGUGCGAAGACAAUAUUGUUUCUUUAUGAACAGUAUUCCUGCGGAGUGACUAUGUAUUCCUUAACAAGACACAAAAAUGUUUUGAUAUGGACUAUCCUAUUUUUUUCUUUACGCAUGUAAUUAAAAAAUUCAUUAAUUAUGACCACCAACAUGUACAUUUGUAGCUAACAACGUCGAGAUGCAAUUUUAUCCAGUUAUGACUUAAUUGAA